AUCUAUGGCCAUGCCAUCCUGAACCCAGCUGAUCUCAUCUGCUCUUUGAAUCUAAGCAAGGUUGGGUCUGGUUAGUCCCUGCAUGAGGAGACUCGGUGGCCUUUAUG
ensembl:rRNA nuclear encoded rRNA 5S 14